CCUUGCUUUUUAUUUCUUUUUUUUUUUUUUUUUUUAAUUUGUUGGAAAAAAGUACUUUGAAUUUUUUGGCGUUUGGGUUUGGUUUUUUUUCCCCCUAGGUGUCACUUGUCAAAAGGGGAGGGGGGAAUAUGCCGCGGAUGGUGACAAUUCAAUUUACAGUCUCUCCCCUCCCCUUGGAGAUUUUGUUUUAUAAUAGUACGUUAUGGUGCCUCUCUCUCCUUUCCUUUUCCUUCCUUCCUUUCUUCCUUCCUUCCUUUCUUCCUUCUCUUUACUCUUUUCUUUCUCUCUCCUCCUUUUCCCCCUCUCUCUCUCACUCCACACCUGCAGGUGCUGCCGCAGCAUGAGAAGCUCGAGCUGUUUGCGUGACUACAUGUUCAACAGGCGCCUUCCUUGAGGGGACAAUAAACCCGAGGGACUGAUUUUUGAGGAGGAGGAGGCUGCCGGGCUGGUAACUGUAUAUUAACCCGGGAGCUUUUGUUUUAGCAUCAGCCACCCGGGUUUGACGUCACCUUCGCUGGUAACGGGAGGAGGUAGCACUUCGGUGGGAAAUAACGCCGUCUCCUUUCCCCAGGGCUCUCCCCUCUCUUUCCCACGAGGGAUCUUCCUCCUCCUCGGCACUUCUUAAAGUUCUCUUCUACAUGCGUCCGUAAGUCCUUCCCUGUAGCGGGAACUGUCUGCCGGUCGCUGGGGCCUCCUCCCGCCGCCUCAGCAUCCCCACCUGCGAUCCCACGCUGCGAGACCUGCUCCCGGCGCCUCCCCGGGUGGGCUGGCCCUGGGCGAGCUACGGACCCCGAGCAGGGAGGAGAGAAAGCCCUGGCUCUGCUCGAGAAGUGCCGGCCCUGCCCGCCACUCUCUCCGCGGCCGGGAGCGCGCAGGGCCGCGGGACAGCCCCGCUGCAGGACACGCAGCGCUCGCUGAUGCGCCGAUGACUCUUCCUCUUGGUCACUCUCCUUCCGUGGUUGCGAAAAGCACAAUUGCAGAUCUCUACAACUUUUCAAUAUUUUUUUUCACACAUCCCUCUUCCUCUCUCUCUCCUUUUCUUUUUUUUUUCUUUAAUUUUUUGGUCACAAAAUGAGCGCUUUACCACCCGACUUUCUGUGUGUGCAGCUGCCACCCAAUCCUCGUGAUUUAAGUGUUAUAACACCUUUAUUUAAUACAGCCGCGAAGUCAAAAUAUCCGAUUUAAUUUUAUUCGCAACCAUUAAUUUUAUUCUCCGGGGAGUAUUAUGCUAAUCAUCUGAUUUAACUUUGAAUUAGUAAAACUCUAUCAGGCCUAACAAGAAACCUUUAAAAUAUUGCUUUAUAUUGGCUUGACACGGAAAAAAUAUUCUCCCUUCUUCAAGGCAGUGUUGUUUGGGGUUGCGCUGGGUUUUUUUCUGCAAAUACCUUCCUUUCCCCCCCCCGAGGCAGCCUGCCAUCACCAGCAACACAGACACGGGCCACGCCGCUUUCCCCCGUUCCCUUGUCUUUCAGCUUUGAUUUAAAUUAAAGAGCUGGGUUAUCCUUUCCGUUUAUGGGAGUUUAAAACGAACUAUUUUGGAAAGAGCCAUGGGGAGGGGAAAAAAAAAAAAAAGCCCAACCAAACGAAACCCCCCAAGAGUGGGUCAGUAAUCAGCCAGUGAAGUGCAGUGGUUUCUGUUCGGAGCCUCAUCCCUCUAGAAACAUCACAAACGGCAGUGUUGAAGUUUGAACACACAACGUAUAGCAUCUCUAUCCCGAGGCUGUUUCCGUAGGCUCCUGCAGCGCGUCCCCAGUGACUGUAACAGAGAGAGCUGGGGUACGGUGUCCUAGCGCUGGGCGCCUAAGUACCCACUGCCCGUUUCUGCUGUUUAUCCAAAAUCAGCAGCACAGGCACCUCUUCGUCCAAAACACUUAAUCAUACACUAGUUUUUAAUGUUACUCUCGGUAUAAAUGUGGAAUCGUAAUAGUUGUGUUUUAUUAAAAAAAAAAUAAAUAAAAUUGCAAGAAUAUGUAAGGCAGUUCCAGGACUCAACAAGUUCUGAGGACAUUUGUCCCAGUCUCCCCCAGUUUCACGGGCGUUUACCGGUUUUCCACUCUCCGCUCCUCUCCCGCCGCCCUCAGGGUCGGCAGCAGCCUCGGCGGGGCUGGAGGCGAAGCCGCCGCCGCUCCCGGGAAGCGCUGCUCUUCUCCGGGGUUGCUCCCGACCCGGAGCCGAGGCCCCCCUUUCGGGCUCGGCACCCUGCUCCGGGCUCAGGGAGUUUCUGCCUUUCCACUUUCCAGGGGGGAAGUGGGUGAAAGGGCCGCUCCCGUGUUGCUGUUCUCUUACGAAGUGUCUUCAGAAAAGGAGAGCCCGGAAUCUUACUUCUCACCAGUUUUAUAUUUUAAUAAUAGUAAUUUCUCCCCUGUCCGUAUUUUCCUUUGGAAGUUUUCAUCGUGAACCACACACAGUGUGCGCAUUUCACAGAUUUAUUCAAACAAACCACCCCUGAGUUGUGAGUUAGCCCAGAACAGCAGAGCCGCGGCCAGGACUUGCCGUGGGCUCGGGGCUCUCUCCAGUUCUGUCCCGGCCUGCAUGUGUGUGUGAGAGUACGGACGGGAGGCAGUGGGAAGGUGGAUGUUUCUCUCCCCCCACCCCUCCCUUCUUCCUCCCUUCUCUCCUACUGCAAUUCAUUUCUGUUUGACGAGGCACAAUAAAAUCUUCUUGUACA